CGGACGGGUGAGUAAUGCUUGGGAAUCUGUCUUAGGGAGGGGGAUAACGACGGGAAACUGUCGCUAAUACCGCGUAAUGUCUAAGGACGAAAGGGUGGGACCUUCGGGCCACCUGCCGUAAGAUGAGCCCAAGUGGGAUUAGGUAGUUGGUGAGGUAAGGGCUCACCAAGCCGACGAUCUCUAGCUGGUCUGAGAGGAUGACCAGCCACACUGGAACUGAGACACGGUCCAGACUCCUACGGGAGGCAGCAGUGGGGAAUAUUGCGCAAUGGGGGCAACCCUGACGCAGCCAUGCCGCGUGAAUGAAGAAGGCCUUCGGGUUGUAAAGUUCUUUCGGUGAUGAGGAAGGUGGAUGUUUUAAUAGAGCAUACAAUUGACGUUAGUCACAGAAGAAGCACCGGCUAACUCCGUGCCAGCAGCCGCGGUAAUACGGAGGGUGCGAGCGUUAAUCGGAAUAACUGGGCGUAAAGGGCACGCAGGCGGACUUUUAAGUGAGGUGUGAAAUCCCCGGGCUUAACCUGGGAAUUGCAUUUCAGACUGGGGGUCUAGAGUACUUUAGGGAGGGGUAGAAUUCCACGUGUAGCGGUGAAAUGCGUAGAGAUGUGGAGGAAUACCGAAGGCGAAGGCAGCCCCUUGGGGAUGUACUGACGCUCAUGUGCGAAAGCGUGGGGAGCAAACAGGAUUAGAUACCCUGGUAGUCCACGCUG
rnacentral:rRNA from 1 species